rnacentral:lncRNA from 1 species
UUGUUGUUGUGUUCGUCGUCACCGUUAUCGUCAUCGUCGUCAUCAUUGUUGUUGUCGUCGACAUUGUUGUCUUCGUUGUUGUUGUUGUUGUUGUUGUCGUUGUUCUCGUUGUUGUCGUCGUUGUCGUCUUUGUUGUCGUCUUUGUGGUUGUUUUUGCUGUUGUUAUUGUUGUUGUUGUUGUUGUUGUUGUUGUUGUUGUUGUUCUUGUUGUUGUUGUUGUUGUUUCCUGCGAUUUUGUUGUUCUUGU